rnacentral:hammerhead_ribozyme from 1 species
AUCCAGCUGGCGAGUUCCAAGUUAGACGAAACGCUCGUCCUGGAU